rnacentral:ncRNA from 2 species
UAAAUAAAUCUGGGGAGCUAUUGCUGAGAGGAAGUACGACUUCGACCCAUUAAACCUGACGGAUAAUGCCGGCGUAGGAAGUAUAGAUGUUUUUUUG